rnacentral:rRNA from 1 species
CGUCCUAACACAUGCAGUCGAGCGGAAACGAGUUAUCAUGAACCUUCGGGGGACGAUAACGGCGUCGAGCGGCGGACGGGUGAGUAAUGCCUAGGAAAUUGCCCUGAUGUGGGGGAUAACCAUUGGAAACGAUGGCUAAUACCGCAUGAUGCCUACGGGCCAAAGAGGGGGACCUUCGGGCCUCUCGCGUCAGGAUAUGCCUAGGUGGGAUUAGCUAGUUGGUGAGGUAAGGGCUCACCAAGGCGACGAUCCCUAGCUGGUCUGAGAGGAUGAUCAGCCACACUGGAACUGAGACACGGUCCAGACUCCUACGGGAGGCAGCAGUGGGGAAUAUUGCACAAUGGGCGCAAGCCUGAUGCAGCCAUGCCGCGUGUGUGAAGAAGGCCUUCGGGUUGUAAAGCACUUUCAGUCGUGAGGAAGGUAGUGUAGUUAAUAGCUGCAUUAUUUGACGUUAGCGACAGAAGAAGCACCGGCUAACUCCGUGCCAGCAGCCGCGGUAAUACGGAGGGUGCGAGCGUUAAUCGGAAUUACUGGGCGUAAAGCGCAUGCAGGUGGUUUGUUAAGUCAGAUGUGAAAGCCCGGGGCUCAACCUCGGAAUUGCAUUUGAAACUGGCAGACUAGAGUACUGUAGAGGGGGGUAGAAUUUCAGGUGUAGCGGUGAAAUGCGUAGAGAUCUGAAGGAAUACCGGUGGCGAAGGCGGCCCCCUGGACAGAUACUGACACUCAGAUGCGAAAGCGUGGGGAGCAAACAGGAUUAGAUACCCUGGUAGUCCACGCCGUAAACGAUGUCUACUUGGAGGUUGUGGCCUUGAGCCGUGGCUUUCGGAGCUAACGCGUUAAGUAGACCGCCUGGGGAGUACGGUCGCAAGAUUAAAACUCAAAUGAAUUGACGGGGGCCCGCACAAGCGGUGGAGCAUGUGGUUUAAUUCGAUGCAACGCGAAGAACCUUACCUACUCUUGACAUCCAGAGAACUUUCCAGAGAUGGAUUGGUGCCUUCGGGAACUCUGAGACAGGUGCUGCAUGGCUGUCGUCAGCUCGUGUUGUGAAAUGUUGGGUUAAGUCCCGCAACGAGCGCAACCCUUAUCCUUGUUUGCCAGCGAGUAAUGUCGGGAACUCCAGGGAGACUGCCGGUGAUAAACCGGAGGAAGGUGGGGACGACGUCAAGUCAUCAUGGCCCUUACGAGUAGGGCUACACACGUGCUACAAUGGCGCAUACAGAGGGCAGCCAACUUGCGAAAGUGAGCGAAUCCCAAAAAGUGCGUCGUAGUCCGGAUUGGAGUCUGCAACUCGACUCCAUGAAGUCGGAAUCGCUAGUAAUCGUGGAUCAGAAUGCCACGGUGAAUACGUUCCCGGGCCUUGUACACACCGCCCGUCACACCAUGGGAGUGGGCUGCAAAAGAAGUAGGUAGUUUAACCUUCGGGGGGACGCUUACCACCUUGAA